rnacentral:rRNA from 1 species
GAGAGCCCCGUACGGUUGAAUGCCUAGCCUUUGUAAAACUCCUUCGACGAGUCGAGUAGUUUGGGAAUGCUGCUCUAAAUGGGAGGUAAAUUUCUUCUAAAGCUAAAUACCGGCCAGAGACCGAUAGCGCACAAGUAGAGUGAUCGAAAGAUGAAAAGCACUUUGAAAAGAGGGUUAAAUAGCACGUGAAAUUGUUGAAAGGGAAGGAUUUAUGACCAGACUUUUUCUAGGCGAAUCAUCCGGUGUUCUCACCGGUGCACUUCGUUUAGUUUAGGCCAGCAUCGAUUUUCGAGGCGGGAUAAAAGCUUCAGGAAUGUGGCUCCCUCGGGAGUGUUAUAGCCUGUUGUAUAAUACCGCCUUGGGGAUCGAGGUACGCGCUUCUGCAAGGAUGCUGGCGUAAUGGUUAUCAAUCACCCGUCUUGAAACACGGACCAAGGAGUCGAACAUUUGUGCGAGUGUUUGGGUGUUAAACCCUCACGCGUAAUGAAAGUGAACGGAGGUGAGAGCCCUUUACGGGGUGCAUCAUCGACCGAUCCUGAUGUCUUCGGAUGGAUUUGAGUAAGAGCAUAAAUGUUCGGACCCGAAAGAUGGUGAACUAUGCGUGGAUAGGGUGAAGCCAGAGGAAACUCUGGUGGAGGCUCGCAGCGGUUCUGACGUGCAAAUCGAUCGUCAAAUCUGCGCAUGGGGGCGAAAG